rnacentral:rRNA from 1 species
AUUGAACGCUAGCGGGAUGCUUUACACAUGCAAGUCGAACGGCAGCGCGGACUUCGGUCUGGCGGCGAGUGGCGAACGGGUGAGUAAUGUAUCGGAACGUGCCCAGUAGCGGGGGAUAACUACGCGAAAGCGUAGCUAAUACCGCAUACGCCCUACGGGGGAAAGCAGGGGAUCGUAAGACCUUGCACUAUUGGAGCGGCCGAUAUCGGAUUAGCUAGUUGGUGAGGUAACGGCUCACCAAGGCGACGAUCCGUAGCUGGUUUGAGAGGACGACCAGCCACACUGGGACUGAGGCACGGCCCAGACUCCUACGGGAGGCAGCAGUGGGGAAUUUUGGACAAUGGGGGCAACCCUGAUCCAGCCAUCCCGCGUGUGCGAUGAAGGCCUUUGGGUUGUAAAGCACGUUUGGCAGGAAAGAAACGUCGCGGGCUAAUACCCCGUGGAACUGACGGUACCUGCAGAAUAAGCACCGGCUAACUACGUG